rnacentral:tRNA from 1 species
GGGGAUACAGCUCAGAGGCGUGAGCACCUGCCUGGCAAGCAUGAGGUCCUGAGUUUGAUUCCCAGUACCA